rnacentral:tRNA from 1 species
GGUUGUGGCUCAGUGGUAGAGCACUUGCCUCAAGUGCAUGGGGCACUGGGUUCCAUCCUUCGCACCA